rnacentral:rRNA from 1 species
UACGGGAGGCAGCAGUGGGGAAUCUUCCGCAAUGGGCGCAAGCCUGACGGAGCAACGCCGCGUGAGUGAGGAAGUUCUUCGGAACGUAAAGCUCUGUUGUUACCUGAGCGAAGCCUCCCCUCUAUCAAACAAUCGGAUGGGGAUUGAUCAAGUAGGGGAACGAGGAAGCCU